UACGUAGGAGGCAAGCGUUGUCCGGAAUUACUGGGCGUAAAGCGCGUGUAGGUGGUGGGACAAGUCUGCUGUGAAAUCCCCGGGCUCAACCUGGGAAUGGCAGUGGAUACUGGCAAGCUAGAGUGUGUCAGAGGAUGGUGGAAUUCCCGGUGUAGCGGUGAAAUGCGUAGAGAUCGGGAGGAACAUCAGUGGCGAAGGCGGCCAUCUGGGACAACACUGACGCUGAGGCACGAAAGCGUGGGGAGCAAACAGGG
rnacentral:rRNA from 1 species